rnacentral:rRNA from 1 species
GUGCUUAACACAUGCAAGUCGAACGAUGAAGCCUUCGGGUGGAUUAGUGGCGAACGGGUGAGUAACACGUGGGUGAUCUGCCCUGCACUCUGGGAUAAGCCUGGGAAACUGGGUCUAAUACCGGAUAUUUCCUAUCGAUCGCAUGGUUGGUGGGGGAAAGCUUUUGCGGUGUGGGAUGGGCCCGCGGCCUAUCAGCUUGUUGGUGGGGUGAUGGCCUACCAAGGCGACGACGGGUAGCCGGCCUGAGAGGGUGUCCGGCCACACUGGGACUGAGAUACGGCCCAGACUCCUACGGGAGGCAGCAGUGGGGAAUAUUGCACAAUGGGCGCAAGCCUGAUGCAGCGACGCCGCGUGGGGGAUGACGGCCUUCGGGUUGUAAACCUCUUUCAGUACCGACGAAGCGCAAGUGACGGUAGGUACAGAAGAAGCACCGGCCAACUACGUGCCAGCAGCCGCGGUAAUACGUAGGGUGCGAGCGUUGUCCGGAAUUACUGGGCGUAAAGAGCUCGUAGGUGGUUUGUCGCGUUGUUCGUGAAAUC